AACAACCCCGUUACCCCGCCCCUCAGAAUGAGGUGAAUAACUAACGAGCAAGCUAGGUUAUUCAAUGUUUUGAUUCUUGACGGACAGUGGGAGGACCUGAGCCGCAGGACCAUGCCUCAUACCUGGCAUGAUAACUUCUUGCUGUCCCUAAUCCGGCUAGCCGUGCUGCUGCUCCAGUUUCAACUGUUUUGCCUGCGGCUAUGGAACCUUGACCUGUUCACCGGACGUGCUACCUGUCCCAGACCUGCUGUUUUCAACUCUCUAGAGACAGCAGGAGCGGUAGAGAUACUCUUAAUUAUUGGCCAUGAAAAGCCAACUGACAUUUACUCCUGAGGUGCUGACUUGUUGCACCCUUGACAACUACCGUGAUUAUUAUUAUUUGUCCAUGCUUGUCAUUUAUGAACAUUUUAACAUCUUGGCCAUGUUCUGUUAUAAUCUCCAACCAGCACAGCCAGAAGAGGACUGGCCACCCCUCAUAGCCUGGUUCCUUCCUAGGUUUUGGCUUUUCUAGGGAGUUUUUCCUAGCCACCGUGCUUCUACACCUGUAUUGCUUGCUGUUUGGGGUUUUAGGCUCGGUUUCUGUACAGCAGUUUGAGAUAUCAGCUGAUGUAAGAAGGGCUAUAUAAAUCAAUUUGAUUUGACUGUUGGUUAAGGGCUUGUAAGUAAGCAUUUCACAGUAAGGUUUACAAUUGUUGUAUUCGGUGCAUGUAACAAAUAAAGUUUGAUUUUGUCUAUUAA